UUGAGUGGUGGUGGUGGUGGUGGUGGCAGCCUCCAGACUGUCACUCAGCGCCCAGCCUCGUCCUUGUCUUCUUCAGCUUCUUAUCUUAUCUUAUGUCUAUCUUGAGUUAUCUUGCAUUUUCUUAACCUUUUUUCGAUUUUUUUUAGUUUGAAUUAUCGUGUGUGUGAGAUUUGAAUGCUUAUAACUCUGGAUUUGUUUAAGUUAGAGUUCUGUUUAUUUGUGUGUGUAGAGGAAGGCUUUCUCUAUCUUUCUGUGUUUUGGGUCUUGGUCUAUCUUAUGUCUAUCUUGAGGUAUCUUGCAUUUUCUUAAACUUUUUUCAAUUUUACUUCAGUUUAAAUUAUCAUGUGUGUGAACUUUAAACGCUUCUAACACUGGAUCCCUUUGAGUUAGAGUUUUUCCGUUUAUUUGUGUGUAUAGAUGAAGUCUUUCUCUAUCUUUCUGUGUUUUGUGUUUGGCUCUGUCUUAUGUCUAUGUAGAGUUAUCUUGCAUUUUCUCUAACUUUUUUACUAAUAUUUUGGUCUCAGUUUACCAUAUGGGUGAUUUUAAAUGCUUAUAACUUGGGUUUCAUUUAGGUUAGAGUCAAUCCGUUUGCAUCUAAUCAAAGUUCAAUCCUCGCUCUAUCCAUCCCCACCAUCCACUCGCUCUAAUCCUCGCUCACUCUCUCACUAUCUCACUUUAUUUACCAACUUUGCUGAUAGGUUCUGAUAACAAAUUGAUAUCAAAUUCUCUAUCACACUCUUUCAUGACAUGUAUAAGAUUUUUCCUUCAUUUUUUAUAUACAUAUCCCAAAGUUAAAGGCCCAUAGCUCCACUUCUAAGAAAGAUAAAGCCAAUAUGUUUGUACCUAAUCAAAGCCCAGUCCUUGCUCUAUCCAACCCCACAAUCGGCUUGCUCUAAUCCUUGCUCACUUUCCCACUAUCUUACUUUCUUUCAUGACAUGUAUAAGAUUUUUCCAGAUUUUUUUUCCAUGACCGAAAGUUAAAGGCCUGUAGCUCUAUUCAUAAGAAAGAUAGAGCCAAUCUGUUUGUGCCUGAUCAAAGCCCAAUCCUUGCUCUAUCCAACCCCACUCUCCGCUUGCUCUAAUCCUUGCUCACUUUCUCACUAUCUUACUUUCUUUCAUGACAUGUAUAAGAUUUUUCCAGAUUUUUUUUCCAUGACCCAAAGUUAAAGGCCUAUAGCUCCGCUUCUAAGAAAGAUAGAGCCAAUCCGUUUGUACCUAAUCAAAGCCCAAUCCUUGCUCUAUCCAACCCCACUAUCCGCUUGCUCUAAUCUUCGCUCACUUUCUCGCCAUCUCACUUUCUUUGCAGGUACUGACAGCCAACACGGUGCACACUCAAAGCGAGGAGGACUGGGAUCUGAUCUCCUGACUGGUGGAGUCUGUCGGGGCGGGCACCUUACCACCCCCCCCCUCAGUACCUCCUUGGGGGGGGCGGGGGAGGAGGAGGAGCUCAGCUUGACCACCGGCCAGCCACAGCCUGCACUGACUCCCCGCGCAGGACAGUGACCUCUCACGACAGGGUUGACACUGGUUAAAGCACUGCGAUCCAGGCUUCACGGCCUGACAGGGCGCCAGUUCGAGCCCGCUCAGGCCGGAUUCUCUCCGUCGACGAGGAGCGGUUACUGUCCCCCCCUGAGCAAGGGGGAUGGGGUGUGUGGUGUGUGAGGUCCUGGCAGUACCCAGAGAUUGACGAUAAAGAGCACUUGCUCAUGUCGGGAGGGUGCCUGCUGGAGAUUACUGGUCCAACACGUGAUCAGGCCGUGGUGAACUCAAGACUCACUGAGGAGCCUCCCAGCAAGAGUGGCUCAGAGGCAGGUCAUUGCUGUGGUGCCUUGAGAACUGCUUAUCAAGUCCAAAAUGUGUUGACUCCCGUGUGAACGCACAAAAGUUGAACUCUUCCCGUGCUGGCACAGUCUGCCGGAGUGAGUGAGGAUUGCAAAGUGUUCUUACAGUGAAGUGUGUAGAGACUGCAACAUGAUGCAUUGUGUCCAACAAACUCUUUGGCUCAUAAUUGACCACCUUUUUACCGAGUGUUAGGUGAGUUUUGAUUUUUUUAGUGCAUUUCUUUAUUGUUAUGUGUCAUUUUGCCCAAAACAUUGGUGUCAUAAAUUCCUGGCAGGCAUUGAAGGAGCUGAGGGACAUGCAGGACACUGUGAAUGCCAGAAAGGCGGGACUUGUCAAGACACAAGACUCUUGACACGCUUGUCUCGUUUCCCGUGAACUCGUCGUAAAGAGCAGAACAAGUAGUUACCUGUGCAAGAAACCACGUGACUUGCCCGGCCCGUGCUGCCCCGCCCGAACCAAGUCACUGAAGCUAGGGUUGACUGAAGAUCUGGGCAGCUUGUGGGUGAUCUUCCGCCACACGGUGACGGUUGUGGAAAUUGUCGGCGUGCUUUGGCGGGACUCAAACCCAGGUCCUCAGGCUCACCACGACUACACACUGUCCAUUCAGACACCGAGGCCUCCUUCCCAUGGACCUGCUGUUAACCGUUCAGACGCCCGGGUAUGGUAUGGACUGCAUGUUUCCAGUACGGUUUCCUGUUUCGUAAUCUCAUGGAGGCAUUAACGUGUUAUUCUGUACAGUCUAGAAUACAUUAGUUGCAGGUCUCUCGUUGACAGGCCCGGGAAGGAGGGACGCAACGCACCUCACAAGACACAAGACUCCAGUCCAUCCUGAGUAGCCUGGAGAGGGAGUGACCUGCCAUGGGGCAGUCCAGUCCAGCCAGCCACUGUGUGGUGGUAAUAGUGAUGGCACCUUUGGCACAGCGAUAACUUUGCCAUCAUCAGUAGGAACUUAGUUAUAGAGUUACGUGCAUACAAUUUCAUACAACUAACAUGCCAUAGAAAAUACCCAACAUGAAGACAGUGUCCUGUGGCCCACAAAAACAACUGUUGGGAUACUGCAUCAACCAGUGGCAUGACUAUUGCACUCCACUUUACACCUGGCCAUGUCCACACCUGUCACCUGCCCCAUGACAAGUACAGAGGCAGCAGUGUGUGAUUCACUUUACACCUGGCCAUGUCCACACCUGUCACCUGCCCCAUGACAAGUACAGAGGUGUGAUGCUGCCCUGUGACCUGAGCUCUUCCAGUAGGUUGACACAGCAAGCCUCUUUGGGGACAACUUGUGGUAUUUUAACCCUCAGAGCAGGGGUUCCCAACCUGGGGUACAUGUACCCCCAGUGGUACAUUUGCACUUUUCAGGGGGUACAUUGGGUCCGAGAGAAUAACCACUACUGUACAAUACAUGUGUUGUAAUCUGCAUUCAUAUUGCAUAAUGUCGUGUUUUUUCAAUUUCCUCAUUUUAGUAAGCAAAAUGUUAUUUAACUUACAUUAUAUCAUCAGUUUACACAUACAGAUUUCAUUACAGAAUAAUAUCAAAAUAUUAAAAUUUCUUCGUUUUUUUCCUAAAUUUUUAGGGGUACACGGAAACCUAUAGAAAUGGCCAAGGGGUACAGAGGAACAAAAAGGUUGGGACCCCCUGCCUCAGACGGUGCUGGAACUCUAUAUAGACGCUCCAGUCAGUGUUGUACGGCAGAUAUAUAACAACACUUCGGUAGAAUCUUUAUAUAGACGAGUUAAAACAUCUCUUAUGCGGCGUAACUAUAUUUAAGCUACGGUCCUCAGGUCGGCAGGCAGUGACUAUAUACAGACGAUUCAUUUUGGGGGAGCCACUCUUCAAAUGCUGUCCAAGGGUUGAUCAGUACCAACAUGAAACACAAUCAGCCCCAAAAUAUGCAGCCCACAACCUUCACACCUCAUCAAAAGUAGGUUUAUUGGCUGGGGAAAAACACAACCUUGACGACCCUCUUCCUGAUAUAAGUGUGUUCAGACAAAAAUAUCCACAUUAUGUCAACAAGUUAUAACGAUCAUUACAAUUCUGUGAGUGUGUGUGUGUGUGUGUGUGUUAAUUUGUCUAGUGCGUAUAUAUUUGCUGCAAAUGGCUGAGGUUCUAUCUGUACAUUUGGUUUCCUUUCAUCUGUUCAUCCCCAGGAGUGGAUUAGGAUGGAUCUGCUACAUAUGCAUUGCCAGCUUGUGCUUGUGUAAAAAUCAAUGUGUUCUGUA